ACGUAGGGGGCAAGCGUUAUCCGGAAUUACUGGGCGUAAAGGGAGCGUAGGCGGCAUGGCAAGUCAGAAGUGAAAACCCGGGGCUCAACUCCGGGACUGCUUUUGAAACUGCCAGGCUAGAGUGCAGGAGAGGUAAGUGGAAUUCCUAGUGUAGCGGUGAAAUGCGUAGAUAUUAGGAGGAACACCAGUGGCGAAGGCGACUUACUGGACUGUACCUGACGCUGAGGCGCGAAAGCGUGGGGAGCAAACGG
rnacentral:rRNA from 1 species